rnacentral:rRNA from 1 species
UACGAAGGGGGCUAGCGUUGCUCGGAAUCACUGGGCGUAAAGCGCACGUAGGCGGAUUGCUAAGUCAGGGGUGAAAUCCUGGAGCUCAACUCCAGAACUGCCUUUGAUACUGGCGACCUUGAGUCCGGGAGAGGUGAGUGGAACUGCGAGUGUAGAGGUGAAAUUCGUAGAUAUCGCAAGAACACCAGUGGCGAAGGCGGCUCACUGGCCCGGUACUGACGCUGAGGUGCGAAAGCGUGGGGAGCAAACAGG